rnacentral:rRNA from 1 species
GACGAACGCUGGCGGCGUGCCUAAUACAUGCAAGUAGAACGCAGUUGCGAACGGGUGAGUAACGAGUAGGUAACUGCCUAAUAGCGGGGGAUAACUAUUGGAAACGAUAGCUCAUACCGCAUACUGUGAGAUGGACCUGCGUUGUCUUAGCUAGUUGGUGAGGUAAAGGCUCACCAAGGCGACGAUACAUAGCCGACCUGAGAGGGUGAGCGGCCACACUGGGACUGAGAACCUGUCCAGCCUCCUACGGUAGGCAGCAGUGGGGAAUAUGGGACAAUGGGCGAAAGCCUGAUGCAGCCAUGCCGCGUGUAUGAAGAAGGCCUGCGGGUUUGAAAGUACUUUCAGCGAGGAGGCGUUACUCGCAGAAGAAGCACCGGCUAACUCCGUGCCAGCAGCCGCGGUAAUAC